CAAUAGCGUAUAUUUAAGUUGUUGCAGUUAAAAAGCUCGUAGUUGGAUUUCGGGUGGGACGCAGCGGUCUCGCAUUGCGUUUGUACUGCUGCAGCCCUCCUUCUUGCCGGGGGCGGCCUCUCGGACUUCACUGUCUGGGGGUCAGAAUCGGCGAUGUUACUUUGAGUAAAUUAGAGUGUUCAAAGCAAGCUUACGCUCUGAAUAUAAUAGCAUGGGAUAACACGACAGGACUCUGGCCUAUCGUGUUGGUCUAUAGGACCAGAGUAAUGAUUAAGAGGGACAGUCGGGGGCAUUCGUAUUCCGUUGUCAGAGGUGAAAUUCUUGGAUUUAUGGAAGACGAACAUCUGCGAAAGCAUUUGCCAAGGAUGUUUUCAUUGA
rnacentral:rRNA from 1 species